GCUGGCGGCGUGCCUAAUCAUGCAAGUCGAGCGGACAGAUGGGAGCUUGCUCCCUGAUGUUAGCGGCGGACGGGUGAGUAACACGUGGGUAACCUGCCUGUAAGACUGGGAUAACUCCGGGAAACCGGGGCUAAUACCGGAUGGUUGUUUGAACCGCAUGGUUCAAACAUAAAAGGUGGCUUCGGCUACCACUUACAGAUGGACCCGCGGCGCAUUAGCUAGUUGGUGAGGUAACGGCUCACCAAGGCGACGAUGCGUAGCCGACCUGAGAGGGUGAUCGGCCACACUGGGACUGAGACACGGCCCAGACUCCUACGGGAGGCAGCAGUAGGGAAUCUUCCGCAAUGGACGAAAGUCUGACGGAGCAACGCCGCGUGAGUGAUGAAGGUUUUCGGAUCGUAAAGCUCUGUUGUUAGGGAAGAACAAGUACCGUUCGAAUAGGGCGGUACCUGACGGUACCUAACCAGAAAGCCACGGCUAAUU
rnacentral:rRNA from 1 species